UUGGACAAUGGGCGGAAGCCUGAUCCAGCAACGCCGCGUGAGGGAUGACGGCCUUCGGGUUGUAAACCUCUUUCGCCUGUGACGAAGCGCAAGUGACGGUAACAGGUAAAGAAGCACCGGCCAACUACGUGCCAGCAGCCGCGGUAAUACGUAGGGUGCGAGCGUUGUCCGGAAUUAUUGGGCGUAAAGGGCUCGUAGGCGGUUUGUCGCGUCGGGAGUGAAAACCAGGUGCUUAACACCUGGCUUGCUUUCGAUACGGGCAGACUAGAGGUAUUCAGGGGAGAACGGAAUUCCUGGUGUAGCGGUGAAAUGCGCAGAUAUCAGGAGGAACACCGGUGGCGAAGGCGGUUCUCUGGGAAUGACCUGACGCUGAGGAGCGAAAGUGUGGGGAGCGAACAGGAUUAGAUACCCUGGUAGUCCACACCGUAAACGUUGGGCGCUAGGUGUGGGGUCCAUUCCACGGAUUCCGUGCCGCAGCUAACGCAUUAAGCGCCCCGCCUGGGGAGUACGGCCGCAAGGCUA
rnacentral:rRNA from 1 species